GUGAGUAGUUCAGAGUUUGAUCCUGGCUCAGGAUGAACGCUGGCGGCGUGCCUAACACAUGCAAGUCGAACGGAGCUUCUUGGAUCGAGACUUCGGUCAAGUGAAUUGAAGCUUAGUGGCGAACGGGUGAGUAACGCGUGAGCAACCUGCCUUUCAGAGGGGGACAACAGUUGGAAACGACUGCUAAUACCGCAUAACACAUCGAGGGGGCAUCCCCAUGAUGUCAAAGAUUUAUCGCUGAAAGAUGGGCUCGCGUCUGAUUAGAUAGUUGGUGAGGUAACGGCUCACCAAGUCGACGAUCAGUAGCCGGACUGAGAGGUUGAACGGCCACAUUGGGACUGAGAUACGGCCCAG
rnacentral:rRNA from 1 species